UACGUAGGGUCCGAGCGUUAAUCGGAAUUACUGGGCGUAAAGGGCGCGCAGGCGGCUACGCACGUCCGUUGUGAAAUCGCUCGGCUCAACUGGGCGGGGUCGGCGGAUACGGCGUAGCUGGAGCAAGCUAGGGGGCAAUGGAAUUCCCGGUGUAGUGGUGGAAUGCGUAGAUAUCGGGAGGAACACCAGUGGCGAAGGCGGUUGCCUGGAGCUUUGCUGACGCUGAGGCGCGAAAGCGUGGGGAGCGAUCCGG
rnacentral:rRNA from 1 species